rnacentral:lncRNA from 1 species
CAGGUAUGGAUGCAGUUGCUGAAAGAACAGAGAGGAGCGGGGGACGUCAUGGGAUGGAGCACACAGAAGGCUUCCUGAGGCGUUCAUCACUUCAGAUAAAGUCAGACGCAAUCACAGAAGCAUCUGGCCGGAGAGGACCUGAGAGCUCAUCUCAUUCAGACCCUCACUUCCAGACUGGCUAGUGCUGUGAUGGAUUCAGGACUGUUUUAUCCUGCUUCCCU